GGGCCCGCACAAGCGGUGGAGCAUGUGGUUUAAUUCGAUGAUACGCGAGGAACCUUACCAGGGCUUAAAUGUAAGUUGCAUAGAUCAGAGAUGGUCUUUUCUUCGGACUACUUACAAGGUGCUGCAUGGUUGUCGUCAGCUCGUGCCGUGAGGUGUCAGGUUAAGUCCUAUAACGAGCGCAACCCCUGUCGUUAGUUGCCAGCAAGUUAAGUUGGGCACUCUAGCGAGACUGCCGGUGCAAACCGCGAGGAAGGUGGGGAUGACGUCAAAUCAUCACGGCCCUUACGUCCUGGGCUACACACGUGCUACAAUGGCAAGUACAACGAGUCGCAAUACCGCGAGGUGGAGCAAAUCUCUUAAAGCUUGUCUCAGUUCGGAUAGGAGUCUGCAACUCGACUCCUUGAAGUUGGAGUCGCUAGUAAUCG
rnacentral:rRNA from 1 species